rnacentral:rRNA from 1 species
UACGUAGGGUGCAAGCGUUGUCCGGAAUUAUUGGGCGUAAAGAGCUCGUAGGCGGUUUGUUGCGUCGGCUGUGAAACCCCGAGGCUCAACCUCGGGUCUGCAGUCGAUACGAGCAAACUAGAGUGUUGCAGGGGAGACUGGAAUUCCUGGUGUAGCGGUGAAAUGCGCCAGAGUAUCAGGAGGGAACACCGGUGGCGAAGGCGGGUCUCUGG